rnacentral:tRNA from 1 species
CGCCGAGCUCGUCGACGGCCGCGUCGACCGCCGCCUUCAUGGCGGCCUCGUCGCGCACAUCGACGAUCUUGGGCACCGCCCGGCGGCC